rnacentral:rRNA from 1 species
GUUCGGGUUGUCAUGCCAAUGGCACUGCCCGGUAGCUACGUUCGGAACUGAUAAGCGCUGAAAGCAUCUAAGCGCGAAGCAGGCCUCGAGAUGAGUUCUCACUAGACUUUUAAAGUCUCUGAAGGGCCGUUGAAGACUACAACGUUGAUAGGCAGGAUGUGGAAGUGGUGUGAGCCAUUAAGCUAACCUGUACUAAUUACCCGUGAGGCUUAACCAUACAACGCCAAACGCGUUU